rnacentral:rRNA from 2 species
GAACGCUGGCGGCGUGCUUAACACAUGCAAGUCGAACGGUGAAGCCCUUCGGGGUGGAUCAGUGGCGAACGGGUGAGUAACACGUGGGCAAUCUGCCCUGCACUCUGGGACAACACCGGGAAACCGGUGCUAAUACCGGAUACGACGUACUCGGGCAUCCGAUGUGCGUGGAAAGCUCCGGCGGUGCAGGAUGAGCCCGCGGCCUAUCAGCUUGUUGGUGGGGUGAUGGCCUACCAAGGCGACGACGGGUAGCCGGCCUGAGAGGGCGACCGGCCACACUGGGACUGAGACACGGCCCAGACUCCUACGGGAGGCAGCAGUGGGGAAUAUUGCACAAUGGGCGCAAGCCUGAUGCAGCGACGCCGCGUGAGGGAUGAAGGCCUUCGGGUUGUAAACCUCUUUCAGCAGGGAAGAAGCGCAAGUGACGGUACCUGCAGAAGAAGCACCGGCUAACUACGUGCCAGCAGCCGCGGUAAUACGUAGGGUGCGAGCGUUGUCCGGAAUUAUUGGGCGUAAAGAGCUCGUAGGCG